rnacentral:lncRNA from 1 species
UUCUCUUGUCGCCAUCUUGGAUUGAUGUGCUGCUCAGACUUGAUGACAUCAAAAAAGAAAAAGAAGAAAAAAGUUUUGUGUGCAUAACCACAAUUAAAAUUAAAGAUGGUGAUUUUUGUAUCAUUAAGAAAAAAUUGAUAAUUAAUACAUUUUUCCUUGUUACAAGUAAACUUUAUCUUGUUUUAUUACAAUAUGCAAAACGAUUUUUUUAUAAAAGCCUGUCAUGGGAUGGAACCACACUUCGAUGUUGUGAUGUUCGUCGUUUGCCUGUGGUGUUACUUUCUUCUGGUUGCUGUUGGUGUGGCCCUAGUCUUCGUUGUGGUUUUUAUUGUGAGGCCCGCUGUGAACUGUUGUAAGUCUUGUGGAGCUUGGACAGCCAGAUCUCCGAAUACAGUACCUGUGUCGUUUAUAUGGACUUUUAUUUCAUUAUAAAGAAUUUUGUUUACUUACACCUAAUUUUGAAGAAUUUUGUUUACAAGUUGCUAGGG